rnacentral:rRNA from 1 species
GAACGCUGGCGGCGUGCCUAACACAUGCAAGUCGAACGAGAAAGCGGGCUUCGGCCCGUGAGUAAAGUGGCAGACGGGUGAGUAACACGUGGGUAACCUGCCCGGAGGUCGGGGGAUAACCCUCCGAAAGGAGGGCUAAUACCGCAUGAUAUCUCGAGCUCCUCGGCGCACGAGAUCAAAGCUGGCCUCUACAUGUAAGCCAGUGCCACCGGAGGGGCCCGCGCCCCAUUAGCUUGAUGGUGAGGUAACGGCUCACCAUGGCUACGAUGGGUAGCCGGCCUGAGAGGGUGAUCGGCCACACUGGAACUGAGACACGGUCCAGACUCCUACGGGAGGCAGCAGUGAGGAAUUUUGCGCAAUGGGCGAAAGCCUGACGCAGCGACGCCGCGUGGAGGAAGAAGGUCUUCGGAUCGUAAACUCCUGUCAAGAGGGAAGAAUGCCGGCGGGAUGAAUAAGCCCGACGGUUGACGGUACCUCUGGAGGAAGCCCCGGCUAACUCCGUG